rnacentral:piRNA from 1 species
UUGGUGGACAGGACUAUAUGAACCUCGGU